UAUGAGUGUGCCUAUUAUCAACACCAAAAC
rnacentral:piRNA from 1 species